AUAUGAAUAUUAUGAAUAUCAUAUUAUUUAAGUACAUAGAUUAAGUAUAUAGAUUUUAAGAUAAAACCAACCAAAUCUGACACACAUUUUAAAUACACACCACACACACUUAGAUCCACCCUGUACCUUUACACACCUGUAUAUAUACCCCAGGGGCAGUGAUUUGGUAAACAUUUGUGUGCAUGAGUUUUAUUGGUCAGAUAUUUGUUAGGGUUGUUGUGGUUGGUUUGUUGAUCUGAGUAUGAUAUUUUUGCCGCCAAGUUUUGUCAAUCUUUGUUUGGUCAGCCAGAGGGUAGCAGUUAUAUAGAAUAAGACCUACUGUACAUCAUAAAGUUUGACAACUGACUAUUUCUCUUUCUGAUAUAUAAACCAUUAUACACUCAUCAUUACAUGAAUAGAGGAAGCUUAUUCCCAUAGAAUGGGCUCUCUAUCAUUUAAUUUCACUGUCACUGUGUCCACAAUAAAUUAAUAUUCGAACCCUCAACAGGCGUUAUUUAUUAUAAGUAAAACCU